UCAGUGCGCUUGAAUAUGAGUCAGUUGCACCACAUACUCUUCUCAUUGGGGAUGACCUUACAGGAGGAGGACAGAGGGCAUCGACUGACUCAGCUGCUGCAGUUGGUCACGAGCCCAUAUUUACAGACCUUUUUACAAGGGAAAGUACCUUCCUUUCCUGCUCGCAUUACAUUACUAACGAUCAGUGAGGAGGAAGGUGAGAGUUGCAUUCCUGCCCUGUGGACGUGAGGUCUAUGGGAGGAAAGAUCUACUGCUCAAUUGGUUCCCAAAGCCUACAAAUGACUGGCAGUUGAACGUAUGAUGAAAUCAAGGGGAUGAAUCCAUCUGAAGUCCCGAACGCUGUGCCAAAACCACAGUGAAACAGAGUCACAUGAGGUGGAAUGAACAUUGAGGCUUCGUCACAGGCCACAAUGACUCAGACUUAGAGGACCCACUUACUUCCACACUCACCAAUUUACCCACCCGCUAGCUCUGAGACAAACACUCAUUCUUCUCCAUACUCACAGCUAUUUCUGCACAUUCUGAGAACUUGGUUUACCGCUUCUCAAAAGUGCCACGUGUUGAACAGCAGAAGAAAGUGAAUCUUGUUUUUGAUGAGGAUACAGGUUUAUCCCGUUCCCACACGUGAAGAGUGAGAACAACAUGAAUGUGCUAUUGGAACAGAGCCAAUAUUGGGCCUUUUUAAGCUCUUAAAGGGAAAAAAUAGCCCUUGUGGUCAACCGAACUGCAAAUAUUUGCCUGGUGUGGUUUACUGUAGUCAUCACAAUUCUUUGGUGGCAAAUGUAGUAGUUUUUCCCAAUAACAUUGUAAAAUUUGAGAGAUAACCUUUCAUAAUAAAAAACAGAAAUCUGGACAAAUCUAAGGAAAUCUAACAGCAUCCCAGACUGUUAAUUGGCAAUACAACUUGGCUCUGCUGCAUGGUAGCUUAAGCAAUGGUACACUUUUAGAAAAAAAAAGUUAUUCGGCUGUCCCCAUAAGAGAACCAUUUUUGGUUCGUAUGUGGAAAGGGUUCUACAUAGAACCCAAAAAGGUUACACCGGGAAACAAAAAGUGUUCUUCAAAGGGUUUUCCUAUGGCAACAGCCGAAGAACCCUUUUAAGUUCUACCAUAGCAAAAAAAAAAUUAAGAGUGCACUACAAAUCAUGUUGCCACAAAGCUGAUUGGUGGAACAAGGGUCAGUGUGACAGAGUUUUACUGUAGUUAUCACAAUUAUUUUGUGACAAAUGAAGCCUUGUUUUUUCCAUUUGCUAUGAACAGUAAGACACACCUCUUCAUCCUCAAAAUUGAUAGAGAACAUUUUCAUAACACAAUGAAAUAGGACACACUUGAGAAGUAAUUGGUUAUACAACACAGGGCACCUGAUUGGUAGAUUUAUCUGUAGCGUCAUAAAUAAUACAAAAGAAAACUCAUACGAUAUCAUCUGAUUGGUGGAAUAACGGCCAGUGUGAGUCCCUGGUUUACAGCCUUACCCCUAGGCGUGCGUUGUGCAAAGAGGCGGGACUGACUUAUGGAGCUGUCUUUGAUUGGGCAAGUCUCUGAGCUGGUGAAACGGGUUAUACAGUCCCACAGCAGGGGCAGAACCCAUCACAGAGUUAUAUUUUGAAGUCUGGGUGGGGCACAGGUAGGGACGAGGCCUCACAUGACACAAAAUCCACAGGACAACAAUGUCAAAACAACCUGUCAAAAUGCCUCAGUGAUAUAAGAUCUAGAAUACUCCCCCAAAACAAUGAUGAAACCAUGCAGGUUUACUACAUUAUUCCAAUGGAAAAGUUCACAAGUUUACAGAGAAUAUUUUCUUCAUGUCAUGUGUCACAAUCGCAAUCCUUGUCAUACUAUUGCAAAUAGUGAACUCUAUGACUGAGUUAAAAUUGCUGUAAGGACCUAUACUCCACUGAACCACUUAGUGAAUGGUGGGGGUGCAGCAGAGGUUUCAUACAGGUCAUAACACAGACACAGACACACACAGACAAACACGUACAAGCACAAACUGCUGACCUUCCCGCUGGUAAUGUUUUCUCUCAGUGAAGAAAAAUCCAUGAAAAAAUGGUCAGCAUUACUGGAAAGAAUUACUGUACGAAUACUCCAGUGACUUGAAAUUUGAAGCCAACCUGUUCACAUAGAUUCUUGUCUCAAGGCCCCUUACAUAAGGCAUCAAAUGAUUGCAUGGAAAUGUUGAAUAGUAAGGUCAGGUGAAAUAAUUACUAAACUUCUGUCUUUUUUUGGGGGUGACUGUGGUUUGUUCCAUGUUCCGUCUUUGUCUGUUGUCUGUUCAGACAACCAACACCCUAUUUUAAAUAGCCCCACCCAGUUACCGAUAUUUAGAAAACUGGAAAGACAAGCUUAGCUUACCGUAGAUCUUGCAUUCCUAGACAGAAAAACAGUGUGUAUAAAUAAUGCUAAAAUAUUAUACAAAACAUCAACAACCUCUUUCCACGACAGACUGACUAGGUGAAUCCAGGUGAAAGCUAUGAUCCCUUAUUGAUGUCACAUGUUUAAUCCACUUCAACCAGUUUAAAUGAAGGGGAGGGGACAAUCUAAAGCAGGAUUUUUAAGCCUUGAGGCAAUUGAGACAUGGAUUGUGUAUGUGUGCCAUUCAUAGGGUGAAGGGACAAGACAAAAGAUUGAAGUGCCUUUGAACGGGGUAUGAUAGUAGGUGACAGGCGCCCCGGUUUGUGUCAAGAACUGCAACCCUGCUGGGUUUUUCACGCUCAACAGUUUCCCGUGUGUAUCAAGAAUGGUCCACUACCCAAAGGACAUCCAGCCAACUUGACACAACUGUGGGAAGCAUUGGAGUCAACAUGAGCCAGCAUCUUUGUGGAACGCUUUCGACACCUUGUAGAGUCCAUGCCCUGACGAAUAGAGGCUGCUCUGAGAGAAAAAGGGGGUGCAACUAAAUAUUAGGGAGGUGUUCUUAAUGUUUGGUGUACUCAGUGUCCGUCAGCCACAAUACAAAUGGGGACAUACUAAACAUCUGAGUGUGCACUAACUGGUGCUUGGUUACAAUGUUGACCGCCAUUAGAACGUUUUAAUUCACCUUCUCUGCAGGCCGCAUGUCUUAACUACGUAUCCGUCUCUCUCACUCUCCCUCUCACCCGUACACACACAUACAACCCCACACAUACCCAUAGACGGACGUUCAUACUUCGUAGCUUUAAAGUUUGAGCUUGUUGCCUCAUGUAGCCUGCUGUAUGCAGUGUUUGUGUGUAACACGAUGUAGGUGAGGGAAGAGCAGAGGCGGGUGGCUCUGCAGGUUGUUCAAGGGGCGGUUUGUGGUGUACGUCUCCCACAGCUGUGAGCUAGGAGGGUGUUGUUCCCAAUUCACUAGUCGAACCUCCUCACAACCCUUAUUUGCCAUCCUUUGGGGACAAACACAGCAUUUUUUUCUGACUCUGUAUACCAGGCCUUCGGGCCAAGUGUUUGCAGAGUGAGUUUGUGUUUCUGCCUGUGAGUAAUAACAGCCCUUGGAUUUCUAAAUGUGGCCAUUAUCACAGCUGGUUGAAAGGGGAGAGCUGUGGGCAGAGGGAGUUGGAUGGGGGUGGGGGAUUUUUUAUUUUUUUUAACUAGUAAGUUUGGGUCAGAGCCCUGGAUGUUGUGUUAGUUCAUGCUAAAUACAUAUUACACAAUCAAUAGUAGAGUAGAUCUAUAGUAGAAAGAGGAAUAACACGGGAACAGGUUCUGAAUGAAGUGCCUGUUGUAAUCACACAAUAGAAUCACAGGGGAAACCGUGUUAGUAAGGAUGAGAUACAGAUUAGCAAAGGGCAGACAAAGGGGAAAUAAAAUGACUUAACUCGGUUAAAGAUCAACUUCUCCUUAUCGACGGUCAUUUUUAGCUCAUGGGUCAAAUCAGUGAAGGAGGUUGACAUACUUUAACCUUGACCAUGAAACAAUCAUAGGACCUGUGUCAUGUUUUUCCACAGACUGAGGGAAAGAGACUCCCUGGAAGAAAGCUCUGUCUUAAAAAGGCUACAUGGUUCUUGAAGCGUUUCCACCGGACUAAUUAUUUGUAGAAUGACGUAAUUCAGAACGCUCACCUGAUUUGGCAAGGUGCAGUUGGCAAGGUGCAGUAAGCUGGCCAAUGUUAACCAUAAACAUGGGACAAGUGACAGCUCAUCAAAAUACAAUCUUUUACACCUCUGUAGUUCUAGGCCAGUCGUAGUGUAGCCAAGCUUAUCUGCCAUGUUAAUUUAUUUGAUUUAACUAGGCAUAUGUAAAUAUAAAGACAUGACUACUUCUACCAUUAGGUCUGUGUCUUUGUGGCUUUAGCUCGCCUCAUAUACUAGACGCACAUACUAUUGCCCUCUACCAGUUCACUGUCUGCAUUUUGAAGUCCAAAGAAACUACAGUGAUUCGUGUUUUGUAGCUGCCCUCAUUCGAAGGGACGUAGGACUCCAUUUCUCACUUUCUUGUACCUUUUAGGUCAGGACACUCUGGCGGCUGUACUGUAAAGGCUCUCUGACGUCAGUGUCUGUGCUUGGCCUGAAUACUGUUAGGCAAACACCCUUUGGACUGUGUCGAGGAGGAACUGCACACUUCCUCUGUAUUCUUGCGUUGCGGUUAGCCUGUGGUACCCUGUAUUGUAUUGUACUAUAACGGCACUAAAACGUUUUUUUUUUUUUAUGGCACAAUGGAAUAAUUCAAUGUUGAUCGGUUUCGUCUUUUAUAUCAACUUAGACGCAGGGACCAUGUCAAAAUUGGAAGUUCUCAUUCAUAACUGAGAUGAAUGUACCUGCUUUAACUUCAACUGAAGGUUGAUUAAAGAACUGAGCAAGACUAAUAGUGGCUACAUAGUAUCUAGACACUGGUCAAAGUUGGCAUGGGCCCGGGUGGAAACUGCACACCCUCAUAGCGGUGCCUCUGUUUUUCUUCUUACCUUCACGUCAUGGCGUCUCCAUUCUCGCCUCUUGGUGUGAAGUGCACGCUACCAGUACAACCACAACAUCCUGUCCAUGCAGACUGUUAACUUCUCAGGGAGCUGUGCAGAGGGGCGGCAGCUGAUUUUAGACUUGUUAAUAAGACGUGUGGGAGUGCUAACUGCACGCACAAACACGCUCUAAUGAGUACAGAAAGGUCCUUGUGCGCAGCAUGGGUUUGUCUCUAUUUUGAUGGUAAUACCAGUAUGUGCAGUCGCCUGAGUUUAGUAAGUGAAGGUGGUCCUUUUUUUGUGUGUCAUAAUGGCUGGCAUUGACUAGUCAGCAAGCACCAUUUGGGUCAGUAUGACAUGGAUCAAGUCAUCUUUGCACUAGUUGAGACAAUCUGUCUGAUCCCUUCUGAGAACAUGACUGUAUCAGGUGCAGUGUGAUGGCUAUAUAGUGUGCUAAGUAGGGCAGGUUGUGAAAGCAUGUACACAUGCAUUGUUCAUGCCUGUGGGACUGCACCAACCACAGUGUGACAGACAGCGGGUCUUAGAAACUGGAAAGUCAGCAUGUUCACACAAAAGAAAAGUAUAACCAUCUCACCCUUACACCUAUUCUUCUAGAUUGAUCUAUAGGCUAUACAACAAGCAAAUAAUUUCCCAUUCAAUACGUGUCUUUAUUGCCAAAGCUUUAUAAAGGUACCAAACUCACUAUCUAUUGGUCAACAGUUGUACUGUGGGGGAAGGGAAAUAGAUACACUUCCCUAUCACUGCAAUUAUAGCAUAUAUAUAUAUAUAUAUAUAUAUAUAUAUAUAUAUAUAGCAUAUAUAUACAUACAGUUGAAGUCGGGAAGUUUACAUAUACUUAGGUUGGAGUCAUUAAAACUCGUUUUCCAACCACUCCACAAAUGUCUUGUUAACAAACUAUUGUUUUGGCAAGUCGGUUAGGACAUCUACUUCGUGCAUGACACAAGUAAUUUUUUCAACAAUUGUGUACAGACAGAGUUUUUCACUUAUAAUUCACUGUAUCACAAUUCCAGUGGGUCAGAAGUUUACAUACACUAAGUUGACUGUGCCUUUAAAUAGCUUGGAAAUUUCCCAAAAUUAUGUUAUGGCUUUAGAAGCUUCUGAUAGGCUAAUUGACAUCAUUUGUGUCACGUUCUGACCUUAGUUCUUUUGUUAUGUCUUUGUUUUAGUAUGGUCAGGGCGUGAGUUGGGUGGGUUGUCUAUGUUCCUUUUUCUAUGUGGUGUUUUUGUGUUUGGCCUGGUAUGGUUCUCAAUCAGAGGCAGGUGUCGUUAGUUGUCUCUGAUUGAGAAUCAUACUUAUGUAGCCUUUCCCACCUGUGAUUUUUGGGUGAUUAUUUUCCAUUUCAGUGUUUGCACCAUUCGGGACUGUUUCGGUUUUCAUUUUGUUUCUCUUGUACUUUUUGUAUUCUGUAUCCAUUCUCCAUAGUCGCCGGUCACUCCGGAGCUGCCGGAGCCGCCUGUCACUCCGGAGCUGCCGGAAUCGCCUUUCACUCCGGAGCUGCCGGAGUCUCCCGCCUGUCCGGUGCUGCCGGAAUCUCCCGUCCAUUCGGGACCCGUUGCUAGGGUCCCCAGUUAGAGCUCGGCGGAGAGGGUCGCCGCUUCCAAGGCGCCACUUAAGUGGGCCGAGACUAUGAUGGAGUGGUCCACGUCCCGCGCCGCCACCGCCACCGCGGACAGACACCCACCCACCCAGACCCUCCCCUAUAGGUUAAGGUUUUGCGGCCGGAGUCCGCACCUUUGGGGGGGGGGUACUGUCACGUUCUGACCUUAGUUCCUUUGUGAUGUCUUUGUUUUAGUUGGUCAGGGUGUGAGUUGGGUGGGCAGUCUAUGUUCUUUUUUUCUAUGAUUUGGUAUUUCUGUGUUUGGCCUGGUAUGGUUCUCAAUCAGAGGCAGCUGUCAAUCGUUGUCCCUGAUUGAGAACCAUACUAAGGCAGCCUGUUUUCCCCCUUGAGUUGUGGGUGAUUCAUUUCUGUUCGUAUCUGUUACCAGACAGUACUGUUUCGGUUUAAUUUUGUUCUCUUGUUGGUUUUGUAUUUUAGUGUUCUGAGUUCUAUUAAAGAAUAUGAAGCACGGGGGUGGCAGCAUCAUGUUGUGGGGGUGCUUUGCUGCAGGAGGGACUGGUGCACUUCACAAAAUAGAGGGCAUCAUGAGGUAGGAAAAUUACGUGGAUAGAUUGAAGCAACAUCUCAAGAUAUCAGUCAGGACGUUGUAGCUUGGUCUCAAAUGGGUUUUCCAAAUGGACAAUGACCCCAAGUAUGCUUCCAAAGUUAUGUCAAAAUGGCUUAAGGACAACAAAGUCAAGGUAUUGGAGUGGCCAUCACAAAGCCCUGACCUCAAUCCCAUAGAAAACUUGUGAGCAGAACUGAAAAAGUGUGUGCUAGCAAGGAGGCCUACAAACCUGACUCUAUUACACCAGCUCUGUCAGGAGGAAUGGGACAAAAUUCACCCAAAUUGUUGUGGGAAGCUUGUGGAAGGCAACCUUAAAUGUUUGACCCAAGAUAAACAAUUUAAAGGCAAUACUACCAAAUACUAAUUGAGUGUAUGUAGCUACUGACCCACUGGGAAUGUGAUGAAAGAAAUAAAAGCUGAAAUAAAUCAUUAUCUCUACUGUUAUUCUGACAUUUCACAUUCUUAAAAUAAAGUGUUGAUCCUAACUGACUUAAAACAGGUGAUUGUUACUAGGAUUAAAUGUCAGGAAUUGUGAAAAAACGAGUUUAAAUGUAUGUGGCUAAGGUGUAUGUAAACUUCUGACUUCAACUGUAUAUAUAUAUGUAUAUAUAUGAUUGCUAUUUUAGUGUGUCACCUUUUCUAGUACAUACAAAAUACAAGAAAGAAGUUGUGUAUGUGAA